rnacentral:rRNA from 1 species
GACGAACGCUGGCGGCAUGCCUUACACAUGCAAGUCGAACGGCAGCACGGGAGCAAUCCUGGUGGCGAGUGGCGAACGGGUGAGUAAUAUAUCGGAACGUGCCCAGUCGUGGGGGAUAACGCAGCGAAAGCUGUGCUAAUACCGCAUACGAUCUAAGGAUGAAAGCGGGGGAUCGCAAGACCUCGCGCGAUUGGAGCGGCCGAUAUCAGAUUAGCUAGUUGGUGGGGUAAAGGCCCACCAAGGCGACGAUCUGUAGCUGGUCUGAGAGGACGACCAGCCACACUGGAACUGAGACACGGUCCAGACUCCUACGGGAGGCAGCAGUGGGGAAUUUUGGACAAUGGGCGCAAGCCUGAUCCAGCAAUGCCGCGUGCAGGAUGAAGGCCUUCGGGUUGUAAACUGCUUUUGUACGGAACGAAACGGCCCUUUCUAAUACAGGGGGCUAAUGACGGUACCGUAAGAAUAAGCACCGGCUAACUACGUGCCAGCCGCCGCCGUAAUAC